rnacentral:rRNA from 1 species
AAUACGGGUGGCAGCAGUGGGGAAUAUUGGGCAAUGGGCGCAAGCCUGACCCAGCAACGCCGCGUGAAGGAAGAAGGCUUUCGGGUUGUAAACUUCUUUUCUCAGGGACGAAGCAAGUGACGGUACCUGAGGAAUAAGCCACGGCUAACUACGUGCCAGCAGCCGCGGCAAUACGUAGGUGGCAAGCGUUAUCCGGAUUUACUGGGUGUAAAGGGCGUGUAGGCGGGAAAGCAAGUCAGAUGUGAAAACCAUGGGCUCAACCUGUGGCCUGCAUUUGAAACUGUUUUUCUUGAGUACUGGAGAGGCAGACGGAAUUCCUAGUGUAGCGGUGAAAUGCGUAGAUAUUAGGAGGAACACCAGUGGCGAAGGCGGUCUGCUGGACAGCAACUGACGCUGAGGCGCGAAAGCGUGGGGAGCAAACAGGAUUAGAUACCCUGGUAGUA